UCGAAUUGUAUCUAACCUAAGUUAUGGUCAAAACCCUUUGAAUAUUUUCGGACGGGGCGGGACGGAUUGAGAUUUUUUUUUCCCCAACAAAUUUUUUUUUUUUUUUUCGGAAUUUAUUCACUACGUAUAUUAUAUAUAUAUAUACAUAUGCUCGUGUGCGCUUUACAUCCUUGUAAUAUCGAUAUAGUGCUUAUAACCUCCCAUUGUUUGUUACCCUUUCUUACAAUUUAAAAAUGUUGUUUGUUAACCUUUCUUACAGUUUAAAAAUGGUGUGAUUAGCUCCUUUUGAGUGUUGACCUCUAUUGAUCAGUACCGAGCUACAAAAAGACUAAAAUAACCCUCUAUCUAUGAUUUAAAAAUAAUAAUAAAAUAACAUACAAUGAGAAAAAUAAAUUUAAAAAAAAAAAAAAAAAAUAGCCCUCUAUCAAUACGCGGUCGUUUCAAGUUAGGGCAUAUUCACAGUUUACAAACUUGCACUCUCUUUUGGUCUCUGUAGAGAAAGUAGAGAUGAACUAACAAUUGUAAUGGUUGUUUCUGAAACUUAUCUUCAUUUCUUUUGGUUCUCUCAAUCGGUAUCACCACUUUUCAAGUUGAGACAACAUCCAUCUUGGGAAAUUCACACCUCAUACCAUCUUAUAUCCAACUUUUUUAGAUUUUGGUGCGGUUGCAGUCGUCAUAAGAGUCGCCGUAACACCGGAACCAGAGGGUGCGGAAGUUGCGAUUGGAGAUGGAAUUUGAUUUCUUGAUUUAGGGGGAGAAAUUGUUGGACAAACCCAAAAGGAAUCGUUGUGUGAAGAAACAAAUGAGAUCAAGAAAUCGUGAGAGAGCAACCGCGUGAGAUCGAAUCGGAUUGCUCUCUGCAAGCUAUUCUCUUCGAUGUUGAUAUCUGUAUGACCAUUAUUAGGGCUGACGGUAGUGAAUUUGCUGGUGAGAUGUGCGAGGUAGGGAGAGAGAGAUUAGGGUAUUAUAUACAAAUAUAUAUAUAUUUAUAUGGUGAAGGGAGUAAAGGAAUAUAAGAAGGGUAAUUUUAUGAAUAAAGGUUUUUAAAAUGGUCAUGUGCAUGGCACAUGACUAAUUUGCGUCGAAUUUUAAUCGAAAAAUUCUUAACGGAGGUGCUUAAUUACACAUUUUUAUAUCUAAUAUGAAUUUAUAUAAACAAAUUUAACUAUAAGGGGUAAUUCGCACAGAUUUAAAAAUUAUAGAGGUGUUUUUCAAACUUUUCCCUAUAACUCAGCCUAAAUAUUUUUGAGCAGGUUGACAGGUUAAUUUUUUUUUUUUCCCUUAACAAUUUUUCUUUUUUUUUUUUAGGAAUUUAUAUAUUACGUAUAUUAUAUAUUUAAUUAUAUUAUUAUUAAAAAAAUAAAAUAUUUUUAGGGCAAAUCAUUUCAGCCUCCCAAUCGCCCCAACCUAUUCUCUCUCCCCUUCCCUCCUCUCUCUCUCUCUCUUUCACUCUCCAACUGCAAACUACAAAAUUUACAAGAAUCUGAAGUUCAAAACCCAUAUAUUUCAGUUUUAUCUAGUUUUUUUUUUUUUUUUGAAAGGUAAGAAUCAAAAGUUCAAAACUCAUAUCGGCAUAUCAUUUCAGAUUGUUCAAAAAAUUAAAACCUAUAUCUUUCAGUUUCCAUCGCCUGUUGUUCUAGUUCGAGUUCGCUGUUUGCAAACUACAGCCGCUGUCUCUCAACUCUCAAGCUUGCCCCCCCUCUCUCUGUGCAACUGCUAACUUGUAUGUAUAGGUUAUGUUUUAAUUUUUUUUUUUUCUAAAUCAAUUAAUCAAGGUUUGUAAGACUGUAAUUCUUGUUUUACAAAUCAAUUAAUCAUGUUCUGUAAGAGGGGCGUCGGCGACAGCACUGAGGGGACGGCGGCGGAGAGAGAGAGAGAGAGAAAGAGAGAAGAGAGAGGAGAGAGAAAGAAGAAUUCUUUUUUAUUUUUUCUUUUUUAAUUUGGGUUUUAGGUUGGGUUCUGAUUGAGCCCAGCCCAACCCGAAUAUAUCUGGGUUUUGACAAAAUUCAACCCGAACAUGAACUCGAUUUGGGAAUUUAAAACCCCAAUUUCAAAUUUUCUGGGUUAGGCUGGGUUAGCCCGCCCAACUAGGAAGCACAGACACUCCAAAAUGGGGGAAGAAUCCGUAUCCGACACGUGUCGGACAGGUUUUUGUGAAUGUUAAGUGCUAACAGUAAAGUCCUAAAUGUUAAACAGUCAUGAACGUUAAUAGUCCUUUCUGUCUAUACUUUUGUAUUUGGAGUAAAGUUGCAAUGAUGAUUAAAUGAUACUAGUUAUUAUUCUAA